AUGCAAGCUUCCAGCGUGGCCCGGCUCGUGGUAGCCCCGUCCAUUCCUGUACAGUUUGCCAGAGAAUCCCCGGGAUGGUUUGAGGUGUCCUCCUGCUGCUCCGGGGGGAUGUUAUAGAAAUCCCGCACACUG
ensembl:snoRNA